GCCAGGCGUUGUGGCGGGCGCCUGUGGUCCCAGCUACUUGGGAGGCUGAGGCAGGAGACUCGCUUGAGCCCAGGAGUUGGAGGUUGCUGUGAGCGUGAUGCCAUGGCACUCUACCCAGGGGGAUAGCUUGAGGCUCCGUCUCAAAAAACAAAAAAGAACUAUAGGGUUUCAACUAUACUCAUCUUGCCCCUUUAAAAAAAUACAAGAUAAACAAAAAGAAAAAACAAUUUUUUUGAGACAGAGUCUCACUGUGUAGCCUUGGGUAGAGUGCCACGGUGUUUUCAUAGCUCACAGCAGCCUCAAACUCCUGGGCUCAAGAGGUUUUCCUGCCUCAG
rnacentral:SRP_RNA from 1 species